CUCAUUCUCUAAAGUUUCUUCUCUAAAAUUUUAGGAAGUAUCCCUCUCUCUCGCCACUCUAUCUUGAUUCCGGUUCCCAGCCGCCAUGAAUCGCCGCCUCCCUCUGGCGCGACGAGGUCAGCACUUGUUCUUCUUCCUCCUCCUCUCCUCCUCUCCUUCCCUUUUGUGCCCUAUUUCUUCCCCAAGAACAAAAUCCCCAAUUUCUAGGGUUUUCAGCCUCCCUUUCAUCUCUGAAUUUCGCCCCUCCGGUGAGUCCCGCCACUGUCGACGCCUUGCACAGUUGCUCCCUGCCUCAGUUGUAGAAUCAGAUUGGCGGUGGAAAGCCCAAAAUGAGAUGGUUAGGAACUCAAUUUUGUUUCUCUCUCAAUUCUUCCAAUUCCAAGCCCUAAUUUUAUGAACUAUUGAAGUGAAGCACCUGCUGACAUUAAUAAACCUGCAUCUGCACCUGCUGGAAUCAUUGAUUCUUUGGGAAUUUUGAUAGAGAAAUUUGGAACAAGAGCUUGAAAUAUGAAGACAGCAUAUUGACUCUAUGGAGUUGCCUGCGGGAUUGUGAUCUUGGGUUUGGCUCUUUUAAGCAUACUGGAGAAGAUACAAUAUGUUUACCAUUAUGAGAAUUGUGGGAAGGUGAUUGUAGAUAUACAACAAGUCCAACAGAUUUGCUGAAGCUGAGAAUAUAUUGAGAAAGAUUCUUCAUAUGAUGGAAUUAUGAAAGGGUUGGAAAUCUUUGGAUAUCAUUGUUGUAGCUGAACGGCUUGCAUUAACUCUUGAAGCAACAAGGAGAUUAAAGGAGGUAGAAGAAUUGUUAGAGAGGUACAUUAAUAUUAAGCACUCAAUGAGGAGCAAAUCCAAAUAGUUUCUACUAGAGAAUAACAAUUUCUCUGUAGCAGAUGUCUUGAUGCCAAGAAAAACUUGCUUC